GCAUCAAUGGGGUAGUGGUAACCAUCGUCGAAACGCGUUGUUUCGACCCGCCGAGGGUUCGAUUCCCCCUUGAUGCA
rnacentral:tRNA from 1 species